rnacentral:rRNA from 1 species
GAAUUCCAUGUGUAGCGGUGAAAUGCGCAGAGAUAUGGAGGAACACCAGUGGCGAAGGCGACUUUCUGGUCUGUAACUGACGCUGAUGUGCGAAAGCGUGGGGAUCAAACAGGAUUAGAUACCCUGGUAGUCCACGCCGUAAACGAUGAGUGCUAAGUGUUAGGGGGUUUCCGCCCCUUAGUGCUGCAGCUAACGCAUUAAGCACUCCGCCUGGGGAGUACGACCGCAAGGUUGAAACUCA